GCUCAGAUUUCAAAAUUCAUUCGAUUACUAACUGUUUACGGAGCAUAAAUAGACUAAUUCGGGCAUACCUCUGUCAAAUUUUUUACCAUCAGGAUCCUUUUGAGUAACAGUAAAUAUAUCUUCGAAAAGUGUUUCAACCAUCUUCAACAACCUGCAUUGGAUAAGCUGAGAACUCAAAAUAUUAAUGAUACAUGUACACUCACAACUCAAUUUAGAGUCUAAAAACUCCCCUAUCAAGGGUCAUGUCCUCGGAAACCUGCAUUCUAGUCAUGUCCUGCCUAAUC
rnacentral:lncRNA from 1 species